AAAUAUUGUAGAUUUGUUUAUCUGUUUAGACAGUAUCUCCAUGAAGCCGGUACUACGUAGCUUAACAUUCACUAUGGAGCCAAAGUAGCCCUUGAACUCCCAGAGAUCUUCCUACCUCUUUCUCCCAGGUGAUGACAUUAAAUGUAUAAGCCACCAUACCCUGCAUCUCCCUAUUUCUUUCACUUUUUUUUUCUUUUUUUUCUAUAGCUAUACAGGAAUGCAAGCUUGACUGAAAAUUUUCUUCAGUAUUUUAAUCUGCAGUUGAUCAUCACGGCCAGUAGAUGGUGCUUGUGUCCCUACAAGGAAAAUUCUGGGCAGCAUUAAAUACGAGAAAUUUUUAGAAAUCUGGGAAUUUAAUGAAUCUCCAACUGAACCCAGUAGAGAAAUUAAGAAUAGUUAUUUCUUGAAACAAUUUUAUGACACCAGAAAAAAUAUCUCCACAAGUUCCUCUUUCUUCACAGGAAAACACAAUGCCUGAUGUCUGUCUAAACAUCCCACAUUUGAACUCUAAAUUUAUAUUUAAUAUCAUGGACAUGUGGUUUCAGUAAGGACACUGUGGAUGAUGCCCAGCUCAGACACAGAACUUGGAGGCUUUGAGCUGGAUCUAAUCUGAAGGCUGGCUUUCAGAGUCCUGGAAGGUAUAUUGCAAACUGCUAAGGCAAGCAGACAGCCAAUAAUCCUACACAGCUGUUACUGACACCCACGAACCGCAACAGUGACCAGCACAGCAAGAUGUCCCUACAGCUCAUGGAACAACAGUGUGCAUGUUCCUCAAAGAUCUCAAAAUAGAUCUACUAUAUUAUCCAGCUAUACCACUCUUGGGUGUAUACCCAAGGACUGUAUGUUCUACUACAGCGAGUCUGCUACCUGCUCAUUCAUAUUCAUGGUUGCUCUAUGUAUAAUGGCCAGUAAAUGGAAGCAGCCAAGAUGUCCAUAAUAAAAUGUGGUCUAUUUACAUAAUGGCAUAUUUCUCAGCUGUUAAGAAAAAAGAGGGAAUUCUAAGCAAAUGAACUGGAAACAAUUCUUCUGAGUGCUGUCGUUUUAGACACAGAGACCUCCGGAACUUAUGAUUCCAUGACAUCACUUAUGAAGUCUUGGUUCAGCCCCACCUUUCUUUCUUUCUCUUUUUAUUAGAUACUUUCUUUAUUUACAUUUCAAAUAUUAUCCCCUUUCCUUGUUUCCCUCCGAAAACCCACCCUUCCACCCACUCCCACUUCCUGGUCCUAGCGUUCCCCUACACUGGAGAAUCAAGCCUUCACAGGAUCAAGGACAUCUCCUCCCA
rnacentral:lncRNA from 1 species